GCUUAUAUAGCUCAAUUUGGUAGAGCAAUAAACUGUUAAUUUAAAGGUUAUUGGUUCAAGUCCAAUUUUAAGCG
rnacentral:tRNA from 1 species